rnacentral:lncRNA from 1 species
UAAACGGGGCCAUGUAGCUGGAGGAGGCUGUAGCAAUAAGGCAGGUAUCACAACUCUGAUUCAGUGCAGCUCUCUCCAGGAGGGACUAUUUCAUGUUGGUACUUGGAAGCUGCUGAGAAACCCAGUGUACUCACUGGAACAUGUCCGUUUCCUCAGCUCUCCAAAACAGGCACCACUGGGAAUGUUGUGAGCAGAGGAAGAAAGCAGCCUGGGACGCUGGCCUCGGAGAAGAGCCGCUCUGUCUCCCUGCCAGGAGGCCUCCUUCAUCCCUCCCCGUUUGGUCUGCUCAGGCAGGCAGUGAUGAUGAACCUUGUGUUCCCUGGCCGACCUCCUUUUUCCUACUGAGGCGGAGGGUAACGCUUUGGCCAACCUACUGGACGAUCUCUGUUGUUGCAGCAGAGGCAGGUAGGUGUAGGAGAGAUGGCACUUUCAAAAAACAAAAUGUUCUUAAAAAGAAGCCUUUUCCUCCUAGAUCUCACUGUUAGCUGCUCAGACGUGAUGGGCCGCAUAAGGAAGCAUGAGGAGAGUGCUUCAGGACAGAAAUGAGCUUCUCCUGCCUGUGGAGGACUGUUACCUGGCUGCGAUCGCAGCUUUCUGGAGGCAUUUUGGGCCCUGGUGCCCCAGGCUUUCCCUGGGCCGGCGGCCGGUGGAGGGACUGCAGACCCGCGUGGUGCCCUGAGUGAGCCGUGCCCUUGAGGCCGGGUGCACUGCCCUGCUGCCAGGGCCCCCCGGGCCCCGGCCUGUUGCAGGCCAGCUCUG